rnacentral:rRNA from 1 species
GUCAGCAGCCGCGGGAACACCGGCGGCCCGAGUGGUGAUCGUGAUUAUUGGGUCUAAAGGGUCCGUAGCCGGUUUGGUCAGUCCUCCGGGAAAUCUGAUAGCUCAACUAUUAGGCUUUCGGGGGAUACUGCCAGACUUGGAACCGGGAGAGGUAAGAGGUACUACAGGGGUAGGAGUGAAAUCUUGUAAUCCCUGUGGGACCACCUGUGGCGAAGGCGUCUUACCAGAACGGGUUCGACGGUGAGGGACGAAAGCUGGGGGCACGAACCGGAUUAGAUACCCGGGUAGUCCCAGCCGUAAACGAUGCUCGCUAGGUGUCAGGCAUGGCGCGACCGUGUCUGGUGCCGCAGGGAAGCCGUGAAGCGAGCCACCUGGGAAGUACGGCCGCAAGGCUGAAACUUAAAGGAAUUGGCGGGGGAGCACAACAACGGGUGGAGCCCUGCGGUUUAAUUGGACUCAACGCCGGACAACUCACCGGGGGCGACAGCAAUAUGUAGGCCAAGCUGAAGACUUUGCCUGAAUCGCUGAGGAGUGGUGCAUGG